rnacentral:rRNA from 1 species
UGGGGGAUAUUGCACAAUGGAGGAAACUCUGAUGCAGCAACGCCGCGUGAGGGAAGAAGGUCUUCGGAUUGUAAACCUUAGUAGUCAGGGACGAAUAAAUGACGGUACCUGAAGAGUAAGCUCCGGCUAACUACGUGCCAGCAGCCGCGGUAAUACGUAGGGAGCGAGCGUUGUCCGGAUUUACUGGGUGUAAAGGGUGCGUAGGCGGGACUGCAAGUCAGACGUGAAAUACCGAGGCUUAACCUCGGGGCUGCGUUUGAAACUGUGGGUCUUGAGUGAAGUAGAGGCAGGCGGAAUUCCUAGUGUAGCGGUGAAAUGCGUAGAUAUUAGGAGGAACACCAGUGGCGAAGGCGGCCUGCUGGGCUUUAACUGACGCUGAUGCACGAAAGCAUGGGGAGCAAACA